GCUAAGCGUUAGGGAUAGUAGCGAUUGUUUGAAAUCUUUUUUGAGGUUUUUUCUUCCUCAAAAAAAUUGAGUGCGGAUAGCCCGACCCAAA
rnacentral:sRNA from 1 species